GAUGAACGCUGGCGGCGUGCCUAAUACAUGCAAGUCGAGCGAACAGACGAGGAGCUUGCUCCUCUGACGUUAGCGGCGGACGGGUGAGUAACACGUGGAUAACCUACCUAUAAGACUGGGAUAACUUCGGGAAACCGGAGCUAAUACCGGAUAAUAUAUUGAACCGCAUGGUUCAAUAGUGAAAGACGGUUUUGCUGUCACUUAUAGAUGGAUCCGCGCCGCAUUAGCUAGUUGGUAAGGUAACGGCUUACCAAGGCAACGAUGCGUAGCCGACCUGAGAGGGUGAUCGGCCACACUGGAACUGAGACGCGGUCCAGACUCCUACGGGAGGCAGCAGUAGGGAAUCUGCCGCAAUGGGCGAAAGCCUGACGGAGCAACGCCGAGUGAGUGAUGAAGGUCUUCGGAUCGUAAAACUCUGUUAUUAGGGAAGAACAAAUGUGUAAGUAACUAUGCACGUCUUGACGGUACCUAAUCAGAAAGCCACGGCUAACUACGUG
rnacentral:rRNA from 1 species